UGAGGAAUAUUGGUCAAUGGGCGGCAGCCUGAACCAGCCAUCCCGCGUGAAGGAAGAAUGCGCUAUGCGUUGUAAACUUCUUUUUCAGGGGGAUAAAAUUUUGUAUGUAUACAGAACUGAAGGUACCCUGAGAAUAAGCAUCGGCUAACUCCGUGCCAGCAGCCGCGGUAAUACGGAGGAUGCGAGCGUUAUCCGGAUUUAUUGGGUUUAAAGGGUGCGUAGGCGGAAGAAUAAGUCAGUGGUGAAACCCUGCAGCUUAACUGUAGACUUGCCAUUGAUACUGUUUUUCAUGAGUAUGGUCAAGGCAGGCGGAAUGUGUAAUGUAGCGGUGAAAUGCUUAGACAUUACACAGAACACCGAUAGCGAAGGCAGCUUGCUGGGCCGUUACUGACGCUGAUGCACGAAAGCGUGGGGAUCGAACAG
rnacentral:rRNA from 1 species